rnacentral:lncRNA from 1 species
UGUCCAUUUCACAUUCGUUAGAUCCAUUUGCCUCUAGUUAGGGAGACACAUCCUUAAAAUGGUGGCUUUAGGAAGCUUCCCGCAGAGUUUCUUUCGUGUGGCAAUGUGUGUAGCAGGUAUACUGAGCUUCUGUUUCCUUCCAGGAGAAGGAGAAGGGGCACUUACCCAGGAGUACCGAACACUCUCAGCCUGCUCUCUUGGUCUCCUUCAUGUCUGUUUCUGCCCUGCUGAUUUUCUGCCUUCAGAAACAAAGAAGAAUCCAGCUUUUCUUCAUGAUGCAGGAUGUUGUAUAUACUUGGAGCCAUCCUCAGUCACAGCUGCCCCUUCAUGAUUCCAAGCUUUCCAAUCGCCUUCAUAGUCAAUGGUCCAAAAUCAUCAAGAGCAUACCGCACGAUGUCAUGGGCAGGGCACGGAGUGUGCAAGGAGACAGAACUCUUCCUGUGGAAACCAGCAUCUCAGGCAUGUCAGGGAGCCACCCUGAACCUUCACCUUCCCAGUCUGUAAAGUAGGAUGAAUCAUCAUUUCUGCCUUGACUCAUUGCUGUGGGAGGUGUGAGUACCGCACAUGUGAGGUGUCCUGAGAUACGCCUGACACGUGGUGGGCACUCAACAAAGACUAGCCGGUACCAAGGUGACUUCCGUAUUAGCUGGAGAAAAUGCACGUUCUUUUUUGACACUCCUCCAGCAUUCACCAUGUGCCAGGCACUGUUCUCAUUCCUUCACGUAGAUUAAUUCAUGUACAUACUCACGGCAACCCUUUGAUAUGGGCAUAGUAUUAUCUUCAUUUUACAAAUGAGGAAACUGAGGCUCAGAGAAGUUGUCCAAGGUCACAGAGCUAGCAGUUGUAGAACGAUGGUAGAUGGGACCCAGACAAUCAGGCCCCAGGGCAUACACUCUUCAAUACAACACCAUACUGACUCUCCUACUUAAAAUCAUAGGUUCUCUAAGAAUAGAAAAGUAGUAAGAAGGCUGAAUAUUCUCUUGCUGCUUAAGUUCAGCCAAAUGCCUUACAUGUUCUACCUCAUCAGUCCUUAUUAUAACCCAAUAAGCUACACCCUAUCAUUAUCACCAUUUACAGAUGAGAAAACAGAGGCAUACAGAGGAUAAAUAGCCUGACCCAGGUUUACAGCUAGUAAGUGGAUUCAGAUCCAUGCCUGUCUGAGUUCAGAGCUCAUGCUAGCAACCAUGCUGCUAUUUUGAAUCCUAGAAAGGCUCUCCUCCGUUGGUG